GUUCAGCUUUGCUUUUGAGAAUGAUUUUUUCCUCAAAAAAACACCUUUCACUCCAAAGAACUACUAAAUAAACACUGAUUGAGUGAAAAUUUUAACUUAAAAAAAGUGUUUUUCUUCAUAUGGAAAAGCCAAAAGUGUUUUUGGCUAGCUAUUUACAUUUUUAUUCUCCAUUUCUCUUCUCCCAAAACACACGGUUGUUCCUCUUUAAUUCUUCCAUCAGUGAGCUUCUUUUCUUCUGCGACUGUUUUAGUUGUUCUCUUCUUCUCUUUAAUUGUUCCUUAUGCUUAGGUUAGUUGUUUUCUGCGACUGUUUUGGCUUGUGAAAGAAUCAGGUUUUUUAGCUCUUAAUAUUGUAUUGGAAUAUUUCAAUCUCUAGUUUAUGAUGAAACAAGAAAAAAAAAUCUUACAAAAAUUGAUUGCUUGAUUUUUUUAACGGGAUGGGGCUUAUUUCUUUUUUCUGACUUUUCUUGUGACAAACUUUUGCCUUCAAAAGGCAAUGAUGAUGUUGAAGGGUUUUUAUUUUUAUUUUUUAUCUUUGUUGUUUUUCAAUUCCAUUCCCUGUUCUCUGAGUUUAUAUGAAGGUUGAGUUACAUAAGUUUGCUAUUCUUAAUUGAUGUUGGUUUCACUACUCUAUAUUUAGAUCGUUAAGUAGUUUUAUUAACUGAGUUUGUAUCUUGUUAACUAUUGACAUUAACUCAGUGAAUCACUUUAGGCAUAGAAGUAUAUCUACAUGAUGACCUAUGGGUGGAUGAAUGCACAUUUCUAAGCUAUGGUGUAUAAUCUUGUAAAUCAUUAGGCUCCCUUUGAGAGAUUUUCUGCUUUGUGCUAGUCUCAUGUGAUGAAUCUCUUCUGUUUUGUCCCCCUACUGUUGUCAAUUGUUGAGAAAAUGAAUUGCAAUUUUUAUACCACAGAAAUCAGCUGGUAGAGUUUUGUUGCCCAAAUUAGCUGUCAAGUUUGAGAGGUACUUGAUGGGAGAGGUACUUGAUGGGGGAGUUAGUUUCGGUCGGUGCUGAAGUAGGAAAAGUGGAGCUUGGAAAGAAUAAACAGAUUCAGGAAUUUUUUGAGCAAUCUCAUGCUAAGUGAUGCCUGUCAAAAUGCUGCCAUUUUCGUAUGUAGUUAUUCUUCUAAUACAAUCUAAAAGAAUUCUUAUACUUUUGCAGGUUCUUUUCUCGGAUAUAAAUGCUUAUGAGGUGGAUUUGGGAAUAGAUACUAGGCACGUGUUUUGUAAAGAGUUUGACUUGUUAGUUGAAGUUGAUUGAAGUUUCUUCUGGUAUUUUGUUUUAAGAUGAAGAAUCAAUUGUAUUUCAAAAUUGAGCAGUAAUUGUAUUUCAAAAUUGAGCAGUUCUUACUUACAAUUAUAAUGUUGUUCAGUUGCUGCUA